rnacentral:rRNA from 1 species
AGAGUUUGAUCCUGGCUCAGAACGAACGCUGGCGGCGUGCUUAACACAUGCAAGUCGCGUGCGCAGUUGCCGUAGCAAUACGGUGAUGGGCGCACGGCGCACGGGUGCGUAACACAUGGGCAAUCUGCCCUUUGAUGGGGAAUAACCCGCCGAAAGGCGGGCUAAUUCCGCAUAAGAUUCUUUGGACCUCGGUCUGAAGAUUGAAAGCAGCAAUGCGUCGAAGGAGGAGCCCGCGCCCGAUUAGCUAGUUGGUGAGGUAAUGGCUCACCAAGGCAAUGAUCGGUAGCUGGUCUGAGAGGAUGAUCAGCCACACUGGAACUGAGACACGGUCCAGACUCCUACGGGAGGCAGCAGUGGGGAAUCUUGCACAAUGGGCGAAAGCCUGAUGCAGCGACGCCGCGUGGGGGAUGAAGCAUUUCGGUGUGUAAACCCCUUUCGACUGGGAAGAAUGCCUCGCAAGAGGAGUGACGGUACCAGUAGAAGAAGCCCCGGCUAACUACGUGCCAGCAGCCGCGGUAAGACGUAGGGGGCCAGCGUUGUUCGGAAUUACUGGGUGUAAAGGGUUCGUAGGCGGUGCGGCAAGUUGGGAGUGAAAUCUCUGGGCUUAACCCAGAGGCUGCUUCCAAAACUGCUGUGCUCGAGUGUGAGAGAGGCUCGUGGAAUUGCAGGUGUAGCGGUGAAAUGCGUAGAUAUCUGCAGGAACACCCGUGGCGAAAGCGGCGAGCUGGAUCACUACUGACGCUGAGGAACGAAAGCUAGGGGAGCAAACAGGAUUAGAUACCCUAGUAGUCC